CCUACGGGAGGCAGCAGUGGGGAAUAUUGGGCAAUGGAGGAAACUCUGACCCAGCGACGCCGCGUGCGGGAUGAAGGCCUUCGGGUUGUAAACCGCUUUCAGUAGGGAAGAAGCGAAAGUGACGGUACCUACAGAAGAAGCACCGGCUAACUAUGUGCCAGCAGCCGCGGUAAUACAUAGGGUGCAAGCGUUGUCCGGAAUUAUUGGGCGUAAAGAGCUCGUAGGUGGUUUGAUACGUCGGGUGUGAAAUUCAGGGGCUCAACCCCUGACCUGCAUUCGAUACGGUCAAGCUGGAGUUUGGUAGGGGAGACUGGAAUUCCUGGUGUAGCGGUGGAAUGCGCAGAUAUCAGGAGGAACACCGAUGGCGAAGGCAGGUCUCUGGGCCAAUACUGACACUGAGGAGCGAAAGCGUGGGGAGCGAACAGGAUUAGAUACCCUGGUAGUCCACGCCGUAAGCGAUGGGCGCUAGUUGUGCGAACCUUCCACGGUUUGUGCGACGCAGCUAACGCAUUAAGCGCCCCGCCUGGGGAGUACGAUCGCAAGAUUAAAACUCAAAGGAAUUGACGG
rnacentral:rRNA from 1 species